rnacentral:misc_RNA from 1 species
GGUUUUUACUGAGUAGUCCGGCAUUGCACUCCCCGCCGGGAGUCUCAGACUUCCGUCGCCUUCGGGUGACGGGGGUGCGUAAAUGCAUUUUCCAGCGAAAAAAAAAAAAAAAAAAAAAAAAAAAAAAAGCGUAAAAAAAAAAAAAAAAAAAAAAAAAAAAAAAAAAAAAAAAAAAAAAAAAAAAAAAAAAAAAAAAAAAAAAAAAAAAGGUUAGGUUCCCAGGCCU